CAUCCCCGUCGCCGCACGGCCGCAGCUUCGGGCCAGCUGACAUCAUGGGGCUCCGCUAAGGAGGUUUCCGUCCGGGCGCCGCCUGCUUGGGCUAUGCGGCCACGGCGGCGAGGAUCCUCUGCAGGCACCGGGCGCGCGCCACUCAGGGUCAGGGCAGGCUCCCACCCAGGAGGGCACGGCGCUUCCGCUCGCCGCCAGCUCCCUGCCAGCCUAGCGGGCGCAAACCGGAGGCGGCGACCCGGUUGCGGGUCGCGGGCCGGUCGGCACGCGCUCACGCACGCGCGCACGCAGACCUGGAGCGGCGGCAGGCGCGGGCGCGGCGAGCGGGGGCACCUGGCCACCCUUGGUCCCCGCAGGGCCGCGCCCCGCAGCCAGCAUUCGCAUGCGUGUGUUAGGAUAGGAUCAUUCUGAGAAGGGGACACCUCGAGGCCACGGUGGGCUCUGGAGGUGCAGAGGGCUUCAUGUGAUGCUAUGUGCAUCUGCUGUGCUGGCAACUGGAAGAGUUGUAUCUGGCUCUGCUGGCUCUACAAAGAGAGAAGUGGAUAUGGAGCAAUUCAUCCUGGGCACCAACUUGUGGGGCAGAUGGUAGCAUGCUCCCACAUCAGGCUAAUUCUUGACUACUCCUCAGCUACUCCUUCAAACACAGAAAAGAAAUACUGGUAAGAGGCGAACUUUCAGCUGGAACUCUUUACAGCUCCCUCAGGACAUCGGAGUGUAAAACAGAAGAGAGAGACACAUAACUCACCAGUGUCAGAGGGAAUUGUUCCACAUGUAGCUGUAGAUUUGAUGUGCACAGGAGGAAGUGAACUCAGUUUCUUUUUACACCACCAUUUUGGACAGACUCUUCCUACCAUGCCCUUGAUUUUGCUAUUCUCUCUACUUGAAAUGCCUCCCCCAGAAAGAAGAAUUCUUCAAUUCUUCGGGCAAGUAUCUCCCCAUCUGCAAGGUAUUUCCUGUGCUCCCUCCACAUUGCCUUUCUGUUAACAAUAUUUUGUUGAAGACACUACAGCAUCUGUAUUUCAGUAUAGUUACUUACAGUUUUAUGUACACCGAAUUUCAGUAUACAUUUUAUUACUGUGUUAGCAUUCUAGCUGGACUGUAAGCUUCCUGAGGAAAGAGAUUGUCUUCUUCUUUUAUCCUAACAUAUGACUCUGAGUCAAGCUAAUUGUUCAGGAAGGGGCUGAUAGAGAGGAAGGGAAUAGCUUUCAUUAAGCACUUUAUAUGUGUCUGACAUGUACUACACAGUUCAUCAUUUCUAAUUUAAUCCCUACAACAAGCCAACAGAAUAUUAAGAUGUUAAUAUCUCCAUUUUACAGAUGAGGAAACAGGUUCAGAGAGGUUAAGCAAUGUUAGGUGCCCCAAAUCUCCUUAUUUUCUGGGCCAUCUUUUUUGAAAGAAAACUGUAUUUCCAGAUAUUUUCACUGCUUCACUUCCUCCACUUUCCUCAUUUAAUUCCUCAUGCAACUGGUUCUGACUUCUGCCCACACCUCUGUACCCACACUACUUUACAAAGCUCAAUAAUUAAGUUCAUAUUGUGAAAUCCAGUGAGUCAUUUUCAGUACUUUCUGCCACAUUUGCCAUUGCUGACCAUUCCAC